UACGUAGGGUGCAAGCGUUGUCCGGAAUUAUUGGGCGUAAAGAGCUCGUAGGCGGUUUGUUGCGUCGGCUGUGAAAUCCCGAGGCUCAACCUCGGGUCUGCAGUCGAUACGAGCAAACUAGAGUGUUGCAGGGGAGACUGGAAUUCCGGGUGUAGCGGUGGAAUGCGUAGAGAUCCGGAAGAACACCGGUGGCGAAGGCGGGUCUCUGGGCAGUAACUGACGCUGAGGAGCGAAAGCGUGGGGAGCGAACAGG
rnacentral:rRNA from 1 species